AUACAGAAGGCUAAUGACGGUACCGUAAGAAUAAGCACUUUGCUAACUACGUGCCAGCACGCGCGCGGUAAUACGUAUGGUGCAAGCGUUAAUCGGAAUUACUGGGCGUAAAGCGUGCGCAGGCGGUUAUGUAAGACAGUUGUGAAAUCCCCGGGCUCAACCUGGGAAUUGCAUCUGAGACUGCAUAGCUAGAGUACGGUAGAGGGGGAUGGAAUUCCGCGUGUAGCAUUUUAAUUUUUAGAUAUGCGGAGGAACACCGAUGGCGAAGGCAAUCCCCUGGACCUGUACUGACGCUCAUGCACGAAAGCGUGGGGAGCAAACAGGAUUAGAUACCCUGGUAGUCCACGCCCUAAACGAUGUCAACUGGUUGUUGGGUACAUUAUGACUCAGUAACGAAGCUAACGCGUGAAGUUGACCGACUGGGGAGUACGGUCGCAAGGUUGAAACUCAAAGAAUUGACGG
rnacentral:rRNA from 1 species